UUAAAAUAAAAAUUAAAAUAGGCUCAUCAUUUAAAAUUGUAUAUUUUGGUAAUUUUGUUCAAGGAUAAAAAUGUAAUUAAAAUUUUUAUUUAAAAUAAGUUGUAUUUAUAACUUAUUAGGGUGCAAAUAUAAUUUCACUUUUCCAAAAAUAUAUAUACUAUUGUACCCUUAUAAUUGUAUCUCAAUUUAAUUUUUUUCAAUUUUUUUUAUUAAUAAUCUUGAAUUUAUUGUAUCAUUAAUCUUUAUUUUGAUUUAUUUUAUUUUUUUAAGAAUAUAAAACAUUAAAGGUUGGCCAUUUAGUUAUAGAUAAACAUUAAAUUACGUGUGUUUCGGGAUAGUGCAUGAGAAAUGAGUCAGUUCCCUAUCUCUCUAUUUUGAUUUGUUAUCUUGACUUCUCUCUCACUCUCUCUGUGAUUUGUGCAUUCAUGGGUCCACCUCUCUCUGCCAUUGGAGAACCCAUUCUCAGCAGAGGAGAGAUUCAGCUUGGACUAUUGGAGAACCUCUGUGGUGACGGUAGAGUCGGGGAUCUCAAAUCUCUGAUCUCAGAUCGCAUCUCUCUCUCUCUCUCUCUCUCUCUCUCUCUCUCUCUCUCUCUCUCUCUCUCUCUCUCUCUCUCUCUCUCUCUCUCUCUCUCUCUCUCUCUCUCUCUCUCUCCCCUCCAGAUCUCAUCCCUAUCUCGAUAUCUGGUAUGGUUUCAUCUCUAAUUUCAUCUUUUCUUUCGUGUUGUUUCCGAAUUUAUAUACAAUUUCAGGUGAUUAUUUUUGUUAAUUGAUGUUGAGAAAUGGAGUAGCUGGUUUAGUUGGGAUUUUAUGCCCUAAAUAAAACUCAUUUCAAUCUAAUCUGAUUUGUUAUCAAUAAAAGAUUAGAAGUCAUUUAUGUUUACAUGUAGUUUUCAUAUUUAUGGUUUAAUAUAUACAAAAUCUGGUAAGUCCAGAACAUAUAGUGAUUCGCAAUUACAGUGAUGUCAACAUAGUAGAAUGUGAUUGUGAUUAUAUGCUUCAAAAGACAAAGUCCCUGUUUCAUCAAUGCAUUAGAUUUACACUGAUGUGAUAAUCAGCGAUGAAGUGUACUUACACUUUGAAUAAGUGUUAUGUUCUUUCUAGAAUAUUGGCAAAGUAUGCUAGUUUCGGAUGUAUGGAGUAUACAUUGGACUGGGACCGAUAUUGAACUUAGUAAAGAUAUUAUAAUCUUACCAUUGUAUCCUUCUGAGUCAAUAUCACUGGUUGAUCUUAGAUCAAAAGAUCUUAACCAUGACAUGCUUAGGUUCAAUCUCAGGAGUGUUAUUCAUGUUCUUUGAUUUAUUAGUUAAGCCUACUUUCUGGUCAUGGUGAUACAUACAUUUUGGGAACAUGAUAGUAUGAUUGAGUGAGAGCGCUAAACAUAGAUAUGGAAUCUAUAGCUUCUAUGAGGACAUAGAAGUGAAACGAUGAUUUCCUUCGAGCUUGGCUAAAUAGAGGUAAAUUGAAGAGCUCUUGUUUCAGUGAUUAUAUUUUAGUUCACUGAAGUAUCAUUUACAGGAAGCUAAGUGUUUUAAGGAUAAAAUAAAAUGAGGAGUGAAACGAUAAAUUUAUCCCUACUCGGUGUAAAUCAUCUAGAGAGGAUAUUUGAUUAUUGAGAUUAGAACGAUGGUUAAAUGUUUAUAGUGUAUCUAUAUCGUGGAGCAUAUAGAGCGUUCUAUAUGACUGAGAGUGCAAUUCGAAGUUCUAUGAGUGAAUACAAUAAGGAAUUAAUAAGUUAGGGAAUUUACUCGGUAAAUUCUAGCUCGGCUUAUUGUAAGCUCGGUUGUAUAGGCGCAUGGUCCCCAUACUAGUUGAGACCAUACUGCUUGUAAGACUCAGAUAAUUAAUUUUAAUUAAUCAAUUAUAAUUCUAAAAUUAGACUAUAUCUAGUUUAUGAAUUUUCACUAAGCAAUGGCUUAAUUAUGAAGAAAUGAGAUUCUAGGUUUUAUUUAUUAAUUGAGAGAAUUUAUUAUGUCUAAUUAAUAAAUAUAUUAAAUAAAAAUUUUAUUUGAUAAUUAAUUUUAAUUAUUAAAUAAUUAGUUUUGGCAUUUAAAUGGUUAGAAUUGGAAAAAUAGAAUUUUUGAGAAAAUAAUUGAAAGAUUGUCAAAAGUGAAAAAAUUCGAAAGUGGGUCGGGCCCAUUAGUAUGGUCGGCCACUUGGUUGGUAAUUUGCACUUAAUUUUUCUAUUAUUUUAAUGCCUAAUAAAUCCUAUCCUAAACCUAGGUGGUUGCCUAUAAAUAGAUAGUGAUGGCUCACAGUUAAAAGAUGAUGAAAUUUCUUGCCUUCAGAAAAAUUGAGCCAUCUAUUCCUUCUAUAUUCAAACCACUUCUCUCUUCCUUCUUCAUCAUAUUUUUCAUAUCUUGAGUGAUAGAGUGAGUGCCCACACACAGCAAGUGGUAUCUCAAUCAUAGUGUGUAAGGCUGUGAUGAAUCAAGAAUCAAGAGAAGGACAUUCGGGCUCAGAUCUUGGUGACACUCUACUACAGACAGGAUACAAGGGUUAGUGAUCUAAGCAGAAGGAGCCAUUAAUAUUCUACUGCAUCCAAUUAUCCAACAUGGCAAUGACCAACCCCAUGGCGUCACUGUUGACUGAUAAUAAGCUGAAUGGAUCUAACUUUCCCAAAUGGAAAGAGAACAUUAACAUUGCUCUCAUUGGUGAAAAUGCCCUGUUUGUGUUAACUGAACCGUCUCCUGAGCAACCGGGUGAGAAUGCAACCAAAGCAGUAAAGGAGAAGUUCGAGCGUUGGCAGAAUGCCAACAACAAAGCUCGAUACUUCAUGCUUUCUAGCAUGGUUGACAUCUUGAAAACAAGGUUUGCUAACACUCUCACGACUGCAGAAAUCUUGAACCAGUUGAAUGAACUAUUCAGGAUGGCAUCAAUUCAAUCUCGCUUUGAAGCGACAAGGAAUUUCAUCAAUGCACGGAUGAAUCCUCAUCAGAACGUGUGUGAUCACCUUCUCCAAAUGGCGAGUUACUUCCAAGAAGCUCAGAAUCAUGGAGCUAUUAUGGAUUAGACAACUCAAGUGAGUGUGAUCUUGAAAAAUUUUACUCCAGCCUUUCGACCUUACACUUCAAAUUAUGUCAUGAACAAGAAGGAACUUGACUUUCACGAGUUGGCAAACAACCUUUAGAUAUUUGAAAAUUUGAUUGGAGGACCACAGAAAAAGGGAUCUAAAACUCCUAAUUCUGGGAAUGCUAAUGGGGUGGCUAAGGCUAAGGCAAACUUUGCCUCUACUUCCAAACCCAAGAACAAGAAGAAGUGGAAUAAUAGCAAGAAGCAUGUUCAAGCUGUGAAAAUAGUUAAAAAGAAAAAGGCUGCUGCUCCCGGUGAUAAGCCAAAAGGAAAAUUCUUCUAUUGCAAUGAAAAGGGCCACUGGAAACCCCAAUGCCCUAAGUUUCUAGCAAAGAAAUAAGCUCCAGAUGCUUGAACUUGGAUUGCUAUCCUAGCGAGUUGAGUCGGAUGGUUGGACAGAUGGGUGCAGAUAGUCCAAGAUGAAGAUGAAGCUUGGAAUCUUCUAUUUUUUUUAAAAAAAUUAUUAUUUUGAAUUAAUUUUUUUAUUUUAAGAACAAUUUGGAUUUCAAUUAUUGGUUUGGGAUUUUAUUCCCUAUUUUUCAUAUUAUUGCAGACAAUUCCUUUAAUUUUGGAAAAUUUUAUAAUAAAGUUUUCUCUUUUGGAAAUGAAUUGCA